UACGAAGGGGGCUAGCGUUGUUCGGAAUUACUGGGCGUAAAGGGCGCGUAGGCGGCGUGUCAAGUCAGGCGUGAAAGCCCCGGGCUCAACCCGGGAACUGCGUCCGAUACUGGCAGGCUUGAAUCCGGGAGAGGGAUGUGGAAUUCCAGGUGUAGCGGUGAAAUGCGUAGAUAUCUGGAGGAACACCGGUGGCGAAGGCGGCAUCCUGGACCGGCAUUGACGCUGAGGCGCGAAAGCCAGGGGAGCAAAGCGGGG
rnacentral:rRNA from 1 species